CACUGUAUAUAUUUCAAUUUAUUUUGUAAAAAUGUUUUCGAAUGAAGAAAACAUUUGACAUGCUAGCUUGUUACAUUUUAACUUAUCGAAAUUGUUAUAACGCGGAGCAGAUGUAUUUGAAUAAAUAUCCCGAAGAUGGCGGCCAAACAGAAGAACUUUUAAAAUAUGAGAAAAUCACUCGGACAAAAAGAAAGGUAUAUCUGAGAAUCAUCAAUGUAUUGCUGUAUUUUGGCUUGUGUAAGGACACUGUGCAUAUCUGCUACAUAAACAGAGAAAAGUGACCCCAAAGAAUAAAAGUAAAUACCCUACAAAUGCAGAAAUCCAUAGAAUUACCACUUGUGGCAAUGAAGAGCAGUUGUGGCAAUGAAGAGCACUUGGUGACAGACCAAAGACUUGAAAAAUGCCAAAAAUCGUCCUGAGUUCCUUGCUGUUAAAUUUUACAACAAGUUACAUUACAUCACAAGGCAAAUACAUUGCCUGCUGAUGAGUAUGGCAGCACAGAUGAGUUUUUGUUGAAAAACUAUAAACUAUUUUUUUAAACUUAAUGCAGUUACAGAUAUAAGCUUUAAGUAUGCAUUUAGUUUUAGAAAAUUGAUUACUGAGUUUUAUUUGGAUGUAUGUAAAUGUUUUUUAUGUAAUAACAUGCGAGUUGAAAUAAAUAAAGGAGAUUACAUCUGCA